UUAAAUUGAAGAGGUUGAUCAUGGCUCAGAUUGAACGCUGGCGGCAGGCCUAACACAUGCAAGUCGAACGGUAACAGGAAGCAGCUUGCUGCUUCGCUGACGAGUGGCGGACGGGU
rnacentral:rRNA from 1 species